GUCUAUGGCCAUACCACACUGAACGUGCCUGAUCUUGUCUGAUUUCGGAAGCUAAGCAGGGUUGGGCCUGGUUAGUACUUGGAUGGGUGAUUUUCUCCUAUGUUAACACCUAGGAAGUUUUAGCUU
rnacentral:rRNA from 1 species